rnacentral:rRNA from 1 species
UACAGAGGUGGCAAGCGUUGUUCGGAAUUACUGGGCGUAAAGGGCGAGUAGGUGGCCAUCUAAGUCAGACGUGAAAUCCCCAGGCUUAACCUGGGAACUGCAUCCGAUACUGGAUGGCUUGAAUCCGGGAGAGGGAUGCGGAAUUCCAGGUGUAGCGGUGAAAUGCGUAGAUAUCUGGAGGAACACCGGUGGCGAAGGCGGCAUCCUGGACCGGCAUUGACGCUGAGGAGCGAAAGCGUGGGGAGCAAACAGG